GUAAUGAGCAGUUCCAGAGCAUCAGCAACAUUAAAAGAAGGAAUAUUCAAUGCCGGUAUUGAAUCUCUGAGUUUGCAGAUAACUGUGAUCUCCAAAUAAACAUGCUUCUCAAUUUCCUGCUGACUAUUGAGGAGUCAAUAGUACAAUUCCAAUAAAGUGCUGCCAACAGAAUGCUACCCAGGGCCUCAUCACCCACAAGAGUGAUUACUACUUGCUUUCAUCCAGUCACUUUCUGGGUAAAUGAAACCACCAGACUUGACAUCCCAUUCAACAUUGCAACAGCAGAGCUGUGGAAUUUCUGUUCUAUCAGUA